GUGCUCCCUGGAUGCUGCAAGCACCACAUCCUUGGGCUAGCUGAGAAGACGAGUGCUGGGAAGCAGCCGGGCACCUGACUUCUUUAGGGCUGCCCAUCCACAGCCACUGGCUGGGUCAGAUCAGUCACAGGGAGCACCUGGGUGACUGAAAUCAAUUCAUACACAGAGAGCACUGUGAAAAAAUCAUCCAAGAGAAGCUCAGAGCCGGCUUGGAGAGCCUUGGUGGAAAAGGACAAUCUGCAGUGUGGCCAGGCCUUUGAGAACCAUCUGAAACAAGAUCCCUCACUCAGGCUGCAGCUGAGCAAGGGUGAACAUUUAAUUGUAAUUGUUUUGACUUCAGUGAAAGUGCUCAUCUGUUCAGCAUUAGACAUCUGCUUAAUUUCCUGAAUGGAUUGAGUCCUACAGAGCUAAACAUCCAGGAGUGACAAAUGCUGGUUCAGGUGUGGGAUUGUGCCGCUCUGAGACAGAUGUUCCUAAACCACCGCAUGCAUCAAAGUCAGCGGCACUAAAAGAGGGCUGAAUUUAGCCUUGUUCCUAUGUUUAUCCAUCCUGCAGCAUUAUGUGUUUUCCUUUCCCUCAUUUUUGCAUUCUACUGUCUCACUUCAGUACAAACUGUAUGAGACAGAGGCUCCUGGGGGAGCAGCUGGAGAUUUGAAAUUCACAUCACUGUUCCCCUUAAGCCUGUCAGAUGAUCAGAUAGCCGAGGAAGUGCUAAUAGCUUAUGCUCUGGUGAAAUAUGUUUUUCUGUACAUGAUUACCUUUGUAUUUUGUUCCCCUUAUCCCUGAUUGUCAGCAUUUUAAUUAAAAGUAGAGGUGUGAGAACAUGGGAAAACCUG